GUGAACACGAGUUGGCACAAGCGCUGCAUAGUCCCUUUCAGAUCAUUCAUAACGCGCAGCCUUCAACGAUGAAGGCUGCGCCUCCCGAGAGAACGGGACCGGACAAAGGCGUCCCCGUCAGGCAACUGGCGGGACGCC
rfam:Pseudomonas syringae pv. tomato str. DC3000, complete genome.